GACGGAGGAGGCAAGCGUUAUCCGGAAUUAUUGGGCGUAAAGCGUCCGCAGGCGGUUUUUUAAGUCUGUUGUCAAAGCCCACAGCUCAACUGUGGAUCGGCAAUGGAAACUGGGGAACUUGAGUGUGGUAGGGGUAGAGGGAAUUCCCGGUGUAGCGGUGAAAUGCGUAGAUAUCGGGAAGAACACCAGUGGCGAAGGCGCUCUACUGGGCCACAACUGACGCUGAGGGACGAAAGCUAGGGGAGCGAAAGGGAUUAGAAACCCCCGUAGUCC
rnacentral:rRNA from 1 species